AUUGAACGCUGGCGGCAGGCCUAACACAUGCAAGUCGAGCGGAUGAAGGGAGCUUGCUCCUGGAUUCAGCGGCGGACGGGUGAGUAAUGCCUAGGAAUCUGCCUGGUAGUGGGGGAUAACGUCCGGAAACGGGCGCUAAUACCGCAUACGUCCUGAGGGAGAAAGUGGGGGAUCUUCGGACCUCACGCUAUCAGAUGAGCCUAGGUCGGAUUAGCUAGUUGGUGGGGUAAAGGCCUACCAAGGCGACGAUCCGUAAAUGGUCUGAGAGGAUGAUCAGUCACACUGGAACUGAGACACGGUCCAGACUCCUACGGGAGGCAGCAGUGGGGAAUAUUGGACAAUGGGCGAAAGCCUGAUCCAGCCAUGCCGAGUGUGUGAAGAAGGUCUUCGGAUUGUAAAGCACUUUAAGUUGGGAGGAAGGGCAGUAAGUUAAUACCUUGCUGUUUUGACGUUACCAACAGAAUAAGCACCGGCUAACUUCGUG
rnacentral:rRNA from 1 species